rnacentral:rRNA from 1 species
UUUGUUAGUUUGCCAUCAUUCAGUUGGGCACUCUAGCGAGACUGCCGGUAAUAAACCGGAGGAAGGUGGGGAGUGACGUCAAAUCAUCAUGCCCCUUAUGACCUGGGCUACACACGUGCUACAAUGGUUGGUACAACGAGUUGCGAGUCGGUGACGGCGAGCUAAUCUCUUAAAGCCAAUCUCAGUUCGGAUUGUAGGCUGCAACUCGCCUACAUGAAGUCGGAAUCGCUAGUAAUCGCGGAUCAGCACGCCCGCGGUCGAAUACGUUCCGGCCUU